AUUGAACGCUGGCGGCAUGCCUUACACAUGCAAGUCGAACGGUAACAGGUCUUCGGAUGCUGACGAGUGGCGAACGGGUGAGUAAUGCAUCGGAACGUGCCCAGUAGUGGGGGAUAGCCCGGCGAAAGCCGGAUUAAUACCGCAUACGACCUGAGGGUGAAAGGGGGGGAUCGCAAGACCUCUCGCUAUUGGAGCGGCCGAUGUCAGAUUAGCUAGUUGGUGGGGUAAAGGCCUACCAAGGCAACGAUCUGUAGUUGGUCUGAGAGGACGACCAGCCACACUGGGACUGAGACACGGCCCAGACUCCUACGGGAGGCAGCAGUGGGGAAUUUUGGACAAUGGGCGCAAGCCUGAUCCAGCAAUGCCGCGUGCAGGAAGAAGGCCUUCGGGUUGUAAACUGCUUUUGUCAGGGAAGAAAUCUUCUGGGUUAAUACCUCGGGAGGAUGACGGUACCUGAAGAAUAAGCACCGGCUAACUACGUGCCAGCCGCCGCUGUAACAC
rnacentral:rRNA from 1 species